rnacentral:rRNA from 1 species
GACGAACGCUGGCGGCGUGCUUAAUACAUGCAAGUUGAGCGCUGAAGGCUGGUACUUGUACCAACCGCAUGAGCCGCGAACGGGUGAGUCACGUGUGUGGAAUCUCCCUUUGAUCGGGGUACAAUAUUUGGAAACGAAUUCUAAUACCACAUAAACACUUUAAACACAAUGGGUAAGUGUGAAAUAUGCAAUUUCAGCACUCAAAGAUGAUCUCGCGUUGUAUUAGCUAGUUGGUGAGGUAACGGCCCACCAAGGCGAUGAUACGUAGCCGACCUGAGAGGGUGAUAGGCCACAUUGGGACUGAGACACGGACCAAACUACUACGGGAGGCAGCAGUCGGGAAUCUUCGGCAGUGGACGAAAGUCUGACAGAGCAACGCCGCGUGAGUGACGAAGGUUUUCGGAUCGUAAAACUCUGUUGGUAGUGAAGAACCGUUGUGGGAGUGGAAGAACAUCAAGUGACGGUAACUAGUCAGAAAGCAACGGCUAACUACGUG